GAUGAACGCUGGCGGCGUGCCUAAUACAUGCAAGUCGAGCGAAUGGAUUAAGAGCUUGCUCUUAUGAAGUUAGCGGCGGACGGGUGAGUAACACGUGGGUAACCUGCCCAUAAGACUGGGAUAACUCCGGGAAACCGGGGCUAAUACCGGAUAACAUUUUGAACCGCAUGGUUCGAAAUUGAAAGGCGGCUUCGGCUGUCACUUAUGGAUGGACCCGCGUCGCAUUAGCUAGUUGGUGAGGUAACGGCUCACAAAGGCAACGAUGCGUAGCCAACCUGCGAGGGUGAUCGGCCACACUGGGACUGAGACACGGCCCAGGCUCCUACGGGAGGCAGCAGUAGGGAAUCUUCGGCAAUGGACGAAAGUCUGACGGAGCAACGCCGCGCGAGUGAUGAAGGCUUUCGGGUCGUAAAACUCUGUUGUUAGGGAAGAACAAGUGCUAGUUGAAUAAGCUGGCACCUUGACGGUACCUAACCAGAAAGCCACGGCUAACUACGUGCCAGCCGCCGCGGUAA
rnacentral:rRNA from 1 species